UACGUAGGUGGCGAGCGUUGUCCGGAUUUACUGGGCGUAAAGAGCGCGCAGGCGGUCGUUCAAGUCGAGUGUGAAAGCCCCCGGCUCAACUGGGGAGGGUCACUCGAUACUGAUCGACUCGAAGGCAGGAGAGGGAAGUGGAAUUCCUGGUGUAGCGGUGAAAUGCGCAGAUAUCAGGAGGAACACCGGUGGCGAAGGCGGUUCUCUGGGCAUUACCUGACGCUGAGGAGCGAAAGUGUGGGGAGCGAACAGG
rnacentral:rRNA from 1 species